rnacentral:rRNA from 1 species
GACGAACCGUACAAACGUUAUUCGGAAUCACUGGGCUUAAAGGGUGCGUAGGCGGCGCAGUAAGUUGGGUGUGAAAUCCCUCGGCUCAACCGAGGAAUUGCGCCCAAAACUACUGUGCUCGAGGGAGGUAGAGGUGAGCGGAACUUAGGGUGGAGCGGUGAAAUGCGUUGAUAUCCUAAGGAACACCGGUGGCGAAAGCGGCUCACUGGACCUCUUCUGACGCUGAGGCACGAAAGCUAGGGGAGCAAACGGG